GGUCAGUGUGUCUAGAUUGACCGGGGUUAAAAAAUACAUUUUGCUUGGUCUUUACAAACAGAUAGGUCUCUCCGCUCGAUGCGGUGACGGGACUCUUGACCUCUUGGUGAUUUAUCAUCCUGUCAUUUUUCAUGACACACACAGGGUGGACAGGGCAAUGAACCAACAGAACAAUACGUAUUGGAUUACUUUCCUUCCCAGGAGGAUUACUCUGAGAGAAUGAGAUGUAUGGCAGCAGGACAGCCAACAGUGUACAGAGGUCAUCCAAAGGUCACCAGAGGAGCCCCAGCAAUACCAGUUUAGUGUCAAGUGGAUCUUUUUAUAUGCAGUAUAAAUCAUUCAUGUACAUACCGUCCUAGAGAUUUGCCAGAAUCAAAACAUAUUGUCGCAGAACAUUAAAAAAUAAUGACCACCGGCACUAUGUUCAAGUCAGCCGUUGGGUACCAUGCAGGAACACGUAGCGCAGUGCCUGUUUCUUUAGAUAGUUCAUAAAGUUUUUAUCUGCCAAUUAUCAUAGUAGCAGGUCAUAUAUGUGCCAAAGAAGAUAAAGUCAUUGUUCCAUCUUGGUGAACAGAGAAGCCACUUGAAUGUUAACAGGGAUUUGAACGCCGUUCGCGCCUGGAGUGAUGUUUAAUGGCAAGGCGAAUAGUAAUGGUUGUAUCAUAUAUUAUUUCCUAUAUAGUAUUUCCUCUUUGAAUAAUGUAUUUUUUUACUCUAAACCAUGUAACCCUGGGGAUAGACUUCAUUGUGCAAAAUCAGCAUUUCCUUUUAUCACGCCAGGUGAAUGUAGCUUUACCCGUUCUAUGCAACAAAUAUAAUUAAUAAAUUAUUUUUUACUA